rnacentral:tRNA from 1 species
GCUCGCACUGGGUUGCGGGCCGGAGCUCGAGCUCUGGCUGCUCGACGGGUCCGGGUCGGGACCCGUUCCCGGUUCGUUGCCCCAGAUGCGCGUGCC